UAUGUUGAGGACAGCUACAGUUCACUGACUCUGUGUGUUUGCAUAUGUGUCCUUCCUCUCUGCUCCCAGCCUUUAAGAGGCCAGUGUUGAUCAGUGGCUGUCCAGGCCUUUCAGAGCCACUGACACGCCGGCAGCACAAUGAUGAUGUCACUGACUCUACUGCUGGCCACCCUGGGGCUCCUUGUUCAGGGUUCAUCAGGACAAAUCACCCUGACUCAGUCUCCUGGAUCUCAGUCUGUUGUUCCAGGACAGACUGUCUCUAUCAGAUGUACAGCCAGUUCAGAUAUUAGUAAUAGCUUCCUCUACUGGUACCUUCAGAAACCUGGAGAAGUUCCUAAUCUCCUGAUUUAUGCAACUUCAACUCGUCAGUCUGGAGUUUCAAGUCGUUUCAGUGGAAGUGGAUCUGAUUCUGACUUCACUCUGACCAUCAGUGGAGUUCAGGCUGAAGAUUCAGGAGUUUACUACUGUCAGCAGAGUUACAGCUCGUUCACACAGUGAUACAACGUCGUACAAAAACCUCCCUCAGCUGGAGAGGAA